ensembl:lncRNA
CCUACUGCCAUACCACCAACAUCUGCCUCUGACGUCAUGGGCCAACACCAUAAAAACACGGGCAUUAUUUUGGAGAAGCCCUUGUAGGUUUGUGGUCCAAAUUUCAUUAUAGGUCCCUACAAUUCCACUGACUGCAGAGUUCUUCAGAUCUUCAAUCACAUCCCAAAACUUAUGGCUUAUUUUCAAGAACGUUACUUUUCCCCAAAGAACUCUAAUUGGAGUGCGGAAAUUACACCAGGCAAAUUAUUUCCCAGCAAGAGUUUGGUGACCUGAGGGGUUCUUUUUAUUGCAGCCAAAGGGGUAGGUUGCACCUGCAACUACUGGUGUGAUGAAGAAUUUGAUUUACAGCUGGACCAAGAUGUCCUAUGGGAUGCAUGAUGGAGGAUGCUGAUGCUGCUGAGAUCCCUCAGUGUUGAUCUGGGUCAACAUCUGAGUCCAACCCCACAUGACCUGUUUUCAUCUCAUCUCUGUGGGAUUACAUGUGAUCAUUGAGACAAAUCCAAGAGAGACCCAGCUUCCCCUGGAAGAGACGAUGGAAGUUCAGUCAGACCCCCGGUUGCUGUUGCUGGGAUACGGUCAGCAGGAAAACGCAGUAAAAGGAGAGGCUGGGUCUGAAGACUGGAGGACUAUCAAACGUGUGCAGAAAUGACCCUUGUCUUGUGCCUGGAUGUUCAGCCAGUGAGGACCUGAGCAAGAAGGGACAGUACUUGCAUAAAAAAUAUUACUUUGUUUUGGCAUUCAGCUUUAUCUGAACUAACAGUAGAUGAACGUAACCACUGCCCAGUCCCAGCUGUGUCAUUGGUCUUUUGGUGAUGGCAGUCAGCUGCCUCCCUCUACACCAGCAGAAGAGGAUUACACUUGGAGCUCUGUGACUCGUUCUUCCUUGCUUCUAAAUUUCCUCCAUGGAAAAUGAAAGUAAUGGAAAUAAAA